rnacentral:lncRNA from 1 species
CGUCGGGUUCUCUUGGGGUGUGUAUGGCGCGGUGAAUUGCUGUCUGACCCCCAUUUCCCCCAAGAACUUCUUGAACACGCGGCUUGUAAAUUGGACUCCGUUAUCGGUGAUCAUCACCUUUGGCACUCCAAAUCGAGCCAAGAUUCUUUCGCGGACUGCCUUCACCAGCGCUUCCGCAGUGGCUUUCCUCAACGGUACCAAUUCGGUCCAUUUGGAGAAACGAUCCACUAACACCAACAGCAUUGCGUUCCCAUGCUUCGAUCUCGGCAGCGGUCCCACGAAGUCCGCACACACUGUUGCCCAUGGCUCUUCUGGGACCUGGGUCAACAUUUUCCCAGCUGCCCGUACCUGGCAUGGUUUGAAACGCAGGCAGNUCGAUCCGCUGAGUGUUGGUGCUAACGGUGCCGGCUCGGUGUUUGUCGUCUCGCGUACAUUGAUUCGCUGAGCGUUGGUGCCGACGGUGCCGGCUCGGUGUUUUGUCGCCUCGCGUACAUUGAUCCGCUGAGCGUUGGUGCUAACGGUGCCGGCUCGGUGUUUUUCGCCUCGCAUACAUUGAUCCGCUGAGCGUUGGUGCCAACAGUGUCGGCUCGGUGUUUUGUCGCCUCGCGUACAUCGAUCCGCUGAGCGUUGGUGCUAACGGUGCCGGCUCGGUGUUUUGUCGCCUCGCGUACAUUGAUCCGCUGAGCGUUGGUGCUAACGGUGCCGGCUCGGUGUUUGUCGCCUCGCAUACAUUGAUCCGCUGAGCGUUGGUGCCAACAGUGCCGGCUCGGUGUUUGUCGCCUCGCGUACAUCGAUUAGCUGAGCGUUGGUGCCGAUGGUGCCGGCUCGGUGUUUUGUCGCCUCGCUUCGUUUAUUUGUUCGUGCGUGCGCCCGCUGGCCUUCAUGGACUGGUGAGUGUGUCCUGCGCGGCACCCCUCCUUUACUUUUAUAAGUAUUUUAAGGUCAGCUUCAUCCUGCGUGAUGGCCUUUCCCUUCAUCCCUACUUCGGCUGGGGCUUCAGGUCUGCCAGGUGGGCCGUCCGAACAUGCCCAUCACUAUCUCUCUUCAUCUGGCAGAUCACUGGCGACUUAAAGUCGACCACCCGGUACGGCCCGGCAUACCUCGGCGCCAACUUGACCGCGAAUCCCUCCGCUGCGUUCGACAGAUGGUGCUGCCGCACCCAUAAGACCUCUCCUAUCUGUGGCUUCCACUCCCGUCUCCUCAGGUUGUAGUGCCUUGCCUGAUCUUGGGCCGCCCUCUCCAGAUUGCGUCGCACCAACUGGAAAAUUUCCCUCAAUUUCGAUGCAUUUUCCUCGGGCGUUCUCGGCCCCUGUCCUGUUCCUAGGGCUCCCUCGUCGUACAGCGCGUUUGGCAGUCGGAGCUCUCUUCCUUGUACGAUGUACGCUGGAGAAUAGCCCGUUGACUCUGCCACGCCUGUAUUCACAGCUAGCAUCAGCUCUGGCCAUUUCUCAUCCCAGCACCGCUGAUCACCCUCCGUGAACUGUGCGAUCAUCGUUUUCACCGUACGGUUUGUACGUUCCGUCGGGUUCUCUUGGGGUGUGUAUGGCGCGGUGAAUUGCUGUCUGACCCCCAUUUCCCCCAAGAACUUUUUGAACACGCGGCUUGUAAAUUGGACUCCGUUAUCGGUGAUCAUCACCUUUGGCACUCCAAAUCGAGCCAAGAUUCUUUCGCGGACUGCCUUCACCAGCGCUUCCGCAGUGGCUUUCCUCAAC